rnacentral:rRNA from 1 species
GACGAACGCUGGCGGCGUGCCUAAUACAUGCAAGUAGGACGCAGUUGCGCACGGGUGAGUCACGCGUGGGUAAGUACCUAUUAGAGGGGGAUCACGGUUGGAAACGAUAGCUAAUACCGCAUACUAGUAAAUGGACCUUCGGUGUAUUAGCUAGUAUGUAGGGUAAUGGCCUACCUAGGCACAGAUACAUAUACGACCUGGGAGGGUGAGCGGCAACACUGGGACUGAGACACGGCCCAGACUCCUACGGGAGGCAGCAGUAGGGAAUCUGUGGCAAUGGGGGGAAGCCUGACCGAGCAACGCCGCGUGAGUGAAGAAGGUGUUCGGAUCGUAAAGCUCUGUUGUGAAGGAAGCGGUACUUAACCAGAAAGGGACGGCUAACUCCGUGCCAGCAGCCGCGGUAAUAC